rnacentral:tRNA from 1 species
UCCCUAGUAGCUCAGUUGGUAAAGAAUCUGCCUGCAAUGCAGGAGACCCAGGUUCGAUCUCUGGGUCGAGAA